rnacentral:lncRNA from 1 species
AAAAGCACUUGCCCAUUUCUCUUAAAUCGAACUUAAAAAUAAUUUUUGUUUGAUUGCCUCCAAUCUCCAUUCAACCUCUCUCUCUCUUUUCAGAAAAAGGCAGAGAGAAAGAGAGGCAUAUUCAAGUACCCAAAAGCUCAAGCUAUUGAGGGUCCAACAUUAGUAUUAACAACAAGUCUCAGCAAUUACGUACUUUCCAUAAUCCAUUGCAAUGGCAAAGGUUCGCAGGCAUUUGGUGAAGCCCUGGCUCGAGGUAGCCCCAUCUCUUAUUGAUCUGCCGUUGAAAUGUUCUUGUGCUCCUAAUUUGGAGACGAUUAGAGAAGAUAUAUCAGAAGAAUAUGAAGAUGGCGAUGAUGAUGAUUAGCGAAUUUGGUUCCUAUAUGGAGUUUUAAUUAGUGGCCAGUUAUAUUUAAGCUAAGGUUUAUGUCCCAGUUCAAAAGAACGAACUCGGAGAUGUGAUUAGAAACAUUAUUAUUGGAUUUUUGCUACGCAUACACACACACACACCUCUUACAUUGUUUUUUGAGAUGCAUGCAUAGCAAAAAUGUAGUGAAUAAAUGCAUAUAUACUAAAAAGAAGUUCUACUUUAUAUGUGUUCUUUGGUAAUUUUAUAUUGCCAAAAGCCAAACAAAUGCAG